rnacentral:rRNA from 1 species
AUUGAACGCUGGCGGCGUGCUUAACACAUGCAAGUCGUGCGGUAACAGGCGUAGCAAUACGUGCUGACGAGCGGCGAACGGGUGCGUAAUACAUGGGAAUCUGCCUUUUAGUGGGGAAUAACCCGGCGAAAGCCGGGCUAAUGCCGCAUAAGAUCUUCGGAUGAAAGCGGGGGAUCGUAAGACCUCGCGCUGAUAGAUGAGCCCAUGCCGGAUUAGCUAGUGGUGAGGUAACGGCUCACCAAGGCGACGAUCCGUAGCUGGUCUGAGAGGACGGCCAGCCACACUGGGACUGAGACACGGCCCAGACUCCUACGGGAGGCAGCAGUGGGGAAUAUUGGACAAGUGGGGGAAACCCUGAUCCAGCGACGCCGCGUGUGUGAAGAAGGCC